rnacentral:rRNA from 1 species
GAUGAACGCUGGCUGCGUGCCUAAUACAUGCAAGUCGAGCGAACGGACGAGAAGCUUGCUUCUCUGAUGUUAGCGGCGGACGGGUGAGUAACACGUGGAUAACCUACCUAUAAGACUGGGAUAACUUCGGGAAACCGGAGCUAAUACCGGAUGAUAUUUUGAACCGCAUGGUUCAAAAGUGAAAGACGGUCUUGCUGUCACUUAUAGAUGGAUCCGCGCUGCAUUAGCUAGUUGGUAAGGUAACGGCUUACCAAGGCAACGAUGCAUAGCCGACCUGAGAGGGGGAGCGGCCACACUGGAACUGAAGCGCGGUCCAGACUACUACGGGAGGCAGCAGUAGGGAAUCUUCCGCAAUGGGCGGAAGCCUGACGGAGCAAAGCCGCGUGAGUGAUGGAGGUCUUCGGAUCGUAAAACUCUGUUAUUAGGGAAGAACAUUUGUGUAAGUAACUGUGCACAUCUUGACGGUACCUAAUCAGAAAGCCACGGCUAACUACGUG